AACAGUUUUAAGGACUAAUCGAUAAAUCCUCUCUUUAUCGAACUUAAAUAGUCCUAAGAACUUCAUCAUAACAAUGGAGUUCAUUAGAAGAUAAAAGCUUAUGAUGAAAAUGCCAAAUAUAUUUUAUUUAUUAACAAAUCAAUUACAAUACUUGGUUGCUCAACCGUCAACAGCUUGACGAUUGGCUUUUUGGGACACAUUUCCCAAUAGAAACUUCUUUUUCAAAAAGACUACCCGACUGCUAACAAACACCUUUUAUUUUGCAGUGAGAUAGAAGUAGUACCCUUUAGUUUUUUUUGGGUACCUUACAAAUAAGCAUCUAUUGGAUUUUGGUCCAAGCUUAUCUAUUUUUAAAUGCUUGACAUAAGCUGGACACCCCC
rnacentral:lncRNA from 1 species